AUUGAACGCUGGCGGCAGGCCUAACGCAUGCAAGUCGAGCGGAUGAAGGGAGCUUGCUCCUGGAUUCAGCGGCGGACGGGUGAGUAAUGCCUAGGAAUCUGCCUGGUAGUGGGGGAUAACGUCCGGAAACGGGCGCUAAUACCGCAUACGUCCUGAGGGAGAAAGUGAGGGAUCUUCGGACCUCACGCUAUCAGAUGAGCCUAGGUCGGAUUAGCUAGUUGGUGGGGUAAAGGCCUACCAAGGCGACGAUCCGUAACUGGUCUGAGAGGAUGAUCAGUCACACUGGAACUGAGACACGGUCCAGACUCCUACGGGAGGCAGCAGUGGGGAAUAUUGGACAAUGGGCGAAAGCCUGAUCCAGCCAUGCCGCGUGUGUGAAGAAGGUCUUCGGAUUGUAAAGCACUUUAAGUUGGGAGGAAGGGCAGUAAGUUAAUACCUUGCUGUUUUGACGUUACCAACAGAAUAAGCACCGGCUAACUUCGUG
rnacentral:rRNA from 1 species